rnacentral:rRNA from 1 species
UCCCAGCAGUCCGAGUCGUGGCCACAUUUAUUAGGUCUAAAACAUUCGUAGCUGGCUUUGUAAGUUCUUUGUGAAAUUGUUGCACUUAAUGCAACAGCGUGCAAGGGAGACUGCAGGGCUUGAGACUGGGAGACGCAAUGAGUACGUUCAAGGUAGCGGUAAAAUGUUUUAAUCUUGGGCGGACUGACAAUGGCGAAGGCACGUUGCGAGAACAGAUCUGACAGUGAGGAAUGAAGGCCCGGGGCGCAAAAUG